GACGAACGCUGGCGGCGUGCUUAACACAUGCAAGUCGAACGAAGUGGCGAACGGGUGAGUAACGCGUAAUCAACCUGCCCUUCAGAGGGGGACAACAGUUGGAAACGACUGCUAAUACCGCAUACAGAAGGAGGGGAUUGCGUCUGAUUAGCUAGUGGGAGGGGGAACGUCCCACAAAGGCGAUGAUCAGUAGCCGGUCUGAGAGGAUGAAGGGCCACAGUGGGACUGAGGCACGGCCCAGACUCCUACGGGAGGCAGCAGUGGGGAUUCUUCCGCAAUGGACGAAAGUCUGACGGAGCAACGCCGCGUGAGUGAUGACGGCCUUCGGGUUGUAAAGCUCUGUUAAUCGGGACGCGGUACCGGAAUAGAAAGCCACGGCUAACUACGUGCCAGCAGCCGCGGUAAUUC
rnacentral:rRNA from 1 species